rnacentral:rRNA from 1 species
AUUGAACGCUGGCGGCAGGCCUACCACAUGCAAGUCGCACGAGUGGAGGACGGGUGAGUAAUGUAUGGGAAACUGCCUGAUGGAGGGGGAUCACUACUGGAAACGGUAGCUAAUACCGCAUACCAUCAGAUGUGCCCAGAUGGGAUUGGCUAGUGGGGGGGGUAACGGCUCCCCACGGCGCCGAUCCCUAGCUGGUCUGAGAGGAUGACCAGCCACAUGGGAACUGAGACAAGGUCCAGACUCCUACGGGAGGCAGCAGUGGGGAAUAUUGCACAAUGGGCGCAAGCCUGAUGCAGCCAUGCCGCGUGUAUGAAGAAGGCCUUCGGGUUGUAAAGUACUUUCAGCGGGGAGGCGUUACCCGCAGAAGAAGCACCGGCUAACUCCGUGCCAGCAGACGCGGUAAUUC